CACCUACAGUAUUAGUAUUUUCACUUUUACAUCUUACCUUGUUUGGGAAGGUGGAAACCAUGCAUUUCAAUUACACAGAUUUCUCAAUGUUUAUUCAUGCUUUAAAUGAGCUGACCAAUGUUUUGUCAAAUGUGAAUUUUUAUUCUUUUCAGUGCCCAAAAAAAUAAAUAUGUAAAACC